UUUCCACUGAAGCAUGCUGUUCAAAAUUGUUUACAGAGUAUUACUGCAUGAAUUGAAGCUGAAGGAAUUAAGAGUCAAACACUGAACUUUUCAGCAGCCUCGCUCUUUCUUCAAAAUGUUUCACUUAAUGGAUGAAGAUUAUACUCUACACUUUCUGCAGAUGGUCUGGGACCUGUCUGUAUCAGCUGGUGGAUAGGUCCUUAAGUUUUCAGUGAGAAGGCUAUAAAUAGCCAUGGUUGAUAGGUAUUGGAAGGUGUCUCUACAUCAACCCAAAAGUGGACUUUCUUCUGCAUGAUGGAGAUCUCUGUGUAUGUUUAUGCAUCAGUAUUAUCAGCCUAAGUGUGGGAAGGCAGUAAAGGUAACCUAAAAUUUAUGCUGUUAUAAAGGAAAAGUGUGUCUCUGCUAAAAAGUCUCAUUCCUUCUUUUGCUCUUUCAGCUGUGUCCUGAAGUGCAGUCCUGUCUGUCUAUAAUAAAGCAGGUUACCUUUGAGGUUUGCA
rnacentral:lncRNA from 1 species